CACGGUAGAGAAGUCUCACCCAGCUCAGUCUUCGCUUAUAUACCAACUCAUCACGUGAUAUCAGCGAGGCCGCUCAUUGGUUCAAUUACUUGGCGUCCCGGUCUUUUUAUUCUUUUGUUUUUUAUGUGCGGCAUGAAAAGUCAGUUUGAAAUUCGCUCAUAAAAAUCGGUUUGAAUUAUGAAGGUGAAUGAACGACGAAAAUUAAAAAAUUAGGACUUAACUGACAGUAAUAAAAGUUUUCGAAAUACCAGGUUUAUUAGUUGCCAGACCACAGUGAACCAUGUUGUGAUAAGCCGGGCAUUGACAGGGGCACGAAAAGUCGUAUGAAGUUUGAAAUUCUAAAAAUGUUGCUGUGAAGGCAUUUGAUGUGUAACGCAUCACUUUCGCCUUGAGUGGAAAAUGGAAUAAACACAGUACUGCGCGUACAGUGCGAUCAAGUGGGCCGCGUUCAGCUGUCGGCCCGUAGAUAGUUUAUCUUCUUUUUUUUUCUUCUUUAAGGGGGGAGCACAUCGCCCCGUUCGAAAUAUUCUUUGUCUCUCUACAUGCAUGUUCUUCUAACCAUCGUACCAGUAUUAUUGCAACUCGAUAGCUAUUAGUAUUUGUUGAGGAGGCUUGUUCUCGAUCAGCAGCGCUUGACAACACAAGUGGCCUUGGUAUACCUUUUUAUAUGUUUUCUCGCCGGCCGGCGCGUCAUGUUACUUGUAGCACACAAGAAAAUCAACGCAUGCAGUGUAUCAACGAGAUAAAUUCUUAUGUUUUCAGGGUCCCAUGUGCCGCAUCCGCGUACGUAACGCAGUAGUGCUACAGUACUUUCAAAGUGCGUAAUUUGGCAGGCAGCACGCCGCCAUUUGAAGUCGGGGAAGGCACACACAUUGAAUAUUCAAGCACGAGUUGACUGAAGUAGACAGCCACUUUGCGAUUCAGCUUCCCGCCCAAGAUUGAAUCACCACGUGAUAGAUGAUGCAUUAAAUAAACGGCUUUGUUAAGAGUUCAUUCAACACAAAAUAACUCGGACCGUGUACGAGGCAAAGCGGUGGGCAAUAUUUGAGAUGGACUACCUGCUGACUAAAAUGACCUAUAAUGUGCUCUGCCGACACUUUUCGCACAAAAAUUUUACAUUACUUAACCUCUCAUCGCGUUUUGUCUCAGCCGUAAGCAGAAGCAAGUCUCUCUUAACACCUGCGGCAACAGAUGUGCUACGCCGGAACAAAGGCUACGCCUUAAGAUGCGUGUCAGUAAAGCAUCUACCACUCAGUACGCUUGCUUAAGCUUUAAUGACUUGUUUUAUGUUACGACGAACUCUGCUGUCGAUUUACGUUAUUCUUAUGACAAAUGAAGCAACUUUGUUGAACCAGCCACAAGAACAACACGAAUGCUGGAGGGCCCCAAAUGCUGUUUCCGCAGAACUAUUACGUCAAAUUGCAAUAUGUGCUGUGAAGAAAUGAGUUGAAAGUGUCACCAGUUGGUUUGCCCUUGGUCCUGUGCGCACUGUCAAUGAUGGCCUCCAGGCAGCGGCCAAACUCCUCCAAUACCGAGCGCUCCAUUUCGGCAAAGGGCCUCUUGAGACGCUCGGCCUCAUCCGCACGUGCAA